rnacentral:lncRNA from 1 species
AUAUGAAUUACUCAUGUGAGUCCAAAAAAGAAAUUGUAUCUUUUCUACUCUAUUGUAGAGAGAACACAUGGAUGAUGUUUCAUCAAUUGUUUAAACUCCAGUGUUAAUAAGCUCCUCUGCUCAGCAGAGAGAAUGUGAAUCUAUUGAAAUCUAAAUAUGAGAUGCUGUUCCAUUGCUGCUGUUUUUAUUGGGAGGAGAAGCUGAGAAUCUCACAUCUUCUCCUGUUCUGUGAAAGUUUACUCCAGGCUGCAAAGCAUUUGAUUGUAGUCUUCCCUGCUGGUUCUGCCUUAGAAGAAAUCUCUGGGAAAAAAUGCAUCUAAAGGAGAGACCCAGAGAUGA